GCCUUCGUGGUGUAGUGGUCAGCACGCUCGACGCGUAACCGAGAGGUCCGUGGUUCGAUUCCCGGGAAAGGCG
rfam:Stegodyphus mimosarum contig33159, whole genome shotgun sequence.